rnacentral:snoRNA from 1 species
GCCACAUGAUGUUGCCAUUGGGAAGUGAGCGCUUUGCGCAGUGCUGACCNUUAUCUAUCACCCUGGACUGAUGGCU